GUGUCAGCCGCCGCGGUAAAACGUAGGAGGCAAGCGUUAUCCGGAUUUACUGGGUGUAAAGCGCGUGCAGGCGGUCUGUCAAGUCGCGUGUGAAAGCGCCCGGCUCAACCGGGCGAGGCCGCGCGAAACUGAGAGACUGGAGGCCGGUAGAGGCGUGUGGAAUUCCGGGUGUAGUGGUGAAAUGCGUAGAGAUCCGGAGGAACACCAGUGGCGAAGGCGACACGCUGGACCGAGCCUGACGCUCAGACGCGACAGCAUGGGGAGCGAACGGGAUUAGAUACCCCUGUAGUCC
rnacentral:rRNA from 1 species